AGGGUUCGAUUCUGGCUCAGGAUGAACGCUAGCUACAGGCUUAACACAUGCAAGUCGAGGGGCAUCACGGGCGGAGCUUGCUCCGCCUGGUGGCGACCGGCGCACGGGUGAGUAACGCGUAUCCAACCUGCCCGCAACCGCGGAAUAGCCCGCCGAAAGGCGGAUUAAUGCCGCAUGCCGUCGGGAGAGGGCAUCUGGCCCCGACGAAAGGUUUUUCCGGUUGCGGAUGGGGAUGCGUCCGAUUAGGCGGCAGGCGGGGCAACGGCCCACCUGGCCUACGAUCGGUAGGGGUUCUGAGAGGAAGGUCCCCCACAUUGGAACUGAGACACGGUCCAAACUCCUACGGGAGGCAGCAGUGAGGAAUAUUGGUCAAUGGGCGGAAGCCUGAACCAGCCCAAGUAGCGUGGGGGAUGACGGCCCUACGGGUUGUAAACCCCUUUUUCGCGGGGAUAACCGGGCGCACUUGUGCGUCCCUGCAGGUACCGCGUGAAUAAGGACCGGCUAAUUCCGUGCCAGCCGCUGC
rnacentral:rRNA from 1 species